GCUCCCGUGGUGAAAUGGAUCUCACGUGUCUCUCCGGAAGAUAAGUUACAGGUUCGAUUCCUGUCGGGAGCGCCA
rnacentral:tRNA from 1 species